GUCCACUGCUCGUAAAAUGGUUAGCUAGCUAAGUGCUAGAAGGACAAAUACAAAAACUCGACAUGGAAGGCCGGCUAUGGAGCUCACAUUUACCGGUAUUUCUCCUGGAGUCACAUGUUGACAGGGGUCCCCAGAUCAGAAGAAUCAAAAGGGUUUUCAGAAAAGUUAAUCCAAAGAGAUUAGACUCCUGGCUGAGCGACUGACCACCACUGCUGCAGAUGGGACGACUACACUGGGAGUACAGGAUCACCAUCUCCCUGUCUGCCUGCUUGCUCUGCUUGCCGAGGACAGUUUUCAGCCACCCGCAUCCACACCAAUUGUCACUCCCUUCUGAACCUUGUAAUAAACCUGUUAAC